AGUGAACGCUGGCGGUAGGCCUAACACAUGCAAGUCGAACGGCAGCACAGGAGAGCUUGCUCUCUGGGUGGCGAGUGGCGGACGGGUGAGGAAUACAUCGGAAUCUACCUUUUUCGUGGGGGAUAACGUAGGGAAACUUACGCUAAUACCGCAUACGACCUACGGGUGAAAAGUGGGGACGGCAAGGCCUCACGCGAUUAGAUGAGCCGAUGUCCGAUUAGCUAGUUGGCGGGGUAAUGGCCCACCAAGGCGACGAUCGGUAGCUGGUCUGAGAGGGAUGAUCAGCCACACUGGAACUGAGACACGGUCCAGACUCCUACGGGGAGGGCAGCAGUGGGGAAAUNUUGGACAAUGGGCGCAAGCCUGAUCCAGCCAUACUGCGUGGG
rnacentral:rRNA from 1 species